UACGUAGGGUGCAAGCGUUGUCCGGAAUUAUUGGGCGUAAAGAGCUCGUAGGCGGUCUGUCGCGUCGGCUGUGAAAACCCGAGGCUCAACCUCGGGCCUGCAGUCGAUACGGGCAAACUAGAGUACUGCAGGGGAGACUGGAAUUCCUGGUGUAGCGGUGAAAUGCGCAGAUAUCAGGAGGAGCACCGGUGGCGAAGGCGGGUCUCUGGGCAGUAACUGACGCUGAGGAACGAAAGCGUGGGUAGCAAACAGG
rnacentral:rRNA from 1 species